GCAGACACAUUCCAGCCAAUCAGCAGCAGACCCUCCUUCCCAGACCCUCCCACCUCCUGGACAGCAUCCAUUUUACAUUCAUUGUGAAGCUGCAUUCUUAGUGAGCUGUCCAGGAGGUGGGAGGGUCUGGGAGGGAGGGUCUGCUGCUGAUUGGCUGGAAUGUGUCUG
rnacentral:miRNA from 1 species